rnacentral:rRNA from 1 species
GACAGAGGUUGCGAACGUUGUUCGGAAUCACUGGGCAUAAAGCGCACGUAGGCGGCUGACUAAGUCAGAUGUGAAAUCCCUCGGCUUAACCGGGGAACUGCGUCUGAUACUGGUCGGCUUGAGAACGGUAGGGGUGAGCGGAACUCCAGGUGGAGCGGUGAAAUGCGUAGAUAUCUGGAGGAACACCGGUGGCGAAAGCGGCUCACUGGACCGUCACUGACGCUGAGGUGCGAAAGCUAGGGUAGCAAACGGG